AGAGUUUGAUCAUGGCUCAGAUUGAACGCUGGCGGCAUGCCUAACACAUGCAAGUCGAACGGCAGCACAGUGGAGCUUGCUCCAUGGGUGGCGAGUGGCGGACGGGUGAGUAAUGCAUCGGGACCUACCCAGACGUGGGGGAUAACGUAGGGAAACUUACGCUAAUACCGCAUACGUCCUACGGGAGAAAGCAGGGGACCUUCGGGCCUUGCGCGGUUGGACGGACCGAUGUUCGAUUAGCUUGUUGGUGAGGUAACGGCUCACCAAGGCGACGAUCGAUAGCUGGUCUGAGAGGAUGAUCAGCCACACUGGAACUGAGACACGGUCCAGACUCCUACGGGAGGCAGCAGUGGGGAAUAUUGGACAAUGGGCGCAAGCCUGAUCCAGCAAUGCCGCGUGUGUGAAGAAGGCCUUCGGGUUGUAAAGCACUUUUAUCAGGAGCGAAAUACUACCGGCUAAUACCCGGUGGGGCUGACGGUACCUGAGGAAUAAGCACCGGCUAACUUCGUGCCAGCAGCCGCGGUAAUACGAAGGGUGCAAGCGUUAAUCGGAAUUACUGGGCGUAAAGCGUGCGUAGGCGGUUUGUUAAGUCUGCUGUGAAAUCCCCGGGCUCAACCUGGGAAUGGCAGUGGAUACUGGCAAGCUAGAGUGUGUCAGAGGAUGGUGG
rnacentral:rRNA from 1 species